rnacentral:siRNA from 1 species
UGGAUUCUUUCUGUUUAUGCC